CAAACCGACCCGGAGAGUGUGUGCGUUGUAGAGAGCAAAACAGAGGGGUGAGUGGCAGAUCCCAACCGCGGCGGCGGCGGCGGCUGCUGGACGGCGGGGUCGCGAGGAGGGUGCGACCGGUGGCUACCUUACGGGCGAAGAGGGGGACCAGAAGACCGUAGGAGCAUCGUUCGAUGCCGCGACGAGGAGGGAUGCUGUGGCUACCGUUCCGCCGCUGUUGGGACGGUAGAAAGUAGCCACUACGAGGAGGGGGGCCCGGCGCCGUUCCGCACAACUAGGGCAUCAAGGACCUGCACCCCUUCCAACCGCGUGUCCAUGUUACUCUGCUGCUAAGCCUUCCGAUCCACUCGUAAUACAAACCAAAAACCACCAACCAGACAACUAUUGCUCUAAAUUCCAAACCACGACGCUAAUCUUUUAAUAGGCUUGCUCUCUUCCUUCUUCCUAAAAAGUCGUCGAUAACUUCCACGCUCGAUAACGGUACCUUUCCCACAGAUGGUGACUCUGGAAUUCUAUGACUGCUGGCUUCGAAGAAAAAAGAAAACUUCGUCAGGCCCGUAUGCUAAUAGAUAGUAAUAAUAAAAGGUACAUAGUACAUGAAGCGCUCUAUCGGUCAUACCGAACUAACGAGACAGAGAAAAGAAGGACUGAAUAGGGUUAUAAUGUACAAUGUUGGUUUUUUGCAAGAAUAACUGGCCCUUCCGUUGUAGUUUUAGAGACUAAAACCAGAGUCACGAAAUGGAGUUGUAGAACCCCAUACUAUCUGAAUAGCCACUAAAGUAACAUAACUCGUAAUAUAAAAAUAACUAAAAAUUUGCUCCUAUAAAAUUAAAUUAACUUAAAUUCUAGACGUUGAAAAGUUUUACUGCCUAACGACGUAUGUUGGACACCAUCGGGGUUGAUAUAACGUGGAUUCCAAGACGUCUUGUCUCCUCUAAUGUCUAGUGACAGCCCAUAGAUUAGAACACCUCAUUGAUAAAUGUAUUAAGAGCAUCCUGUGGAAGGUAAACUACUAGCUUAAUUCCAACAAGAAAUAGUCUUCCAUCCGUCAGUAAUUUUUGAAUUAUGAACUAGAAACUUCGGUAAGGUUAUCAUGAUGACAAUAGACCAACCUACAUCUAAAGUUUCCCACUACGAGUCUAACGCCUCACCGAAAGCGGUUUUUCGAGACUAGCCGAAAAGUACGUGAUCGAGUAGUUAACGGUGAAGCUUAGACAACAUACAUCCAAUUCUAAGUCAAAGUGGAUGACAGAUUAAAUGUACUUACGGCCAUAGUGAGGUACCUAAUAUAUAAUUAGAUGAAAUCAGUGACAAAGUCUAAAACGGAAGUACUAAUUAAUAUACCUACGAAUCAACAUCGGUAGUACGGACAGUAUCAAGUUCAAAAAAUGAAAAAGUAAGUACGGCCAACGUGUACCCCCUACUCUACUGAAGACGUACAGAAGAUAAAAACAUUUCACAGAUGGACUCAAGAAGUGUACCACGGAACCAAAGUAACCUUUAUAUGAUUUUUCUAUACACGUAUAGUACCUAGAACAGCACAGUUGGUUUUUGUCGAAGAAGAAUUUUCUACCUAAACAAACUCGGAGUUGACCACGUAGAAAACGACGUAGUUGAUCCCGACUUUCCUGAUUUUAAUAAGUUGAAACAAUGAUCCAUAGACCAGUAUCCAUAACAUUUAUGAUUUAUCAUACUAUAGGAAAAUACUUUGUUUAAAAGAAAGACAAACUGUAACUACACGAACACUAAACGAAAGGUCCAAUAGAAAGAACUCUUGAAUGACCAAAUGGUUAAACUCUAAACAAAGUAGUACAAAAAUAUGGUACAGUAGUCCUAAAAGUAAACAAGAAAACGGUAUGUUUGUUCUAUAACGUCACGAAGUCCCAAAAGUCAACAAGAAGACGGUAUGGUAGACACACGCACAUAUAACGACUGUAUGUCAAAGGAAAAACAACACGUCUUCACGAAUAUAAAAGAGUACGGGAGUUGAUGAUAAAAUCGAAGUCAUACGAGACUCAUAUUCAUAUCGGCGAUGUUACCAGUCAUGGUUCCCACUCACGGAGGUGCAAACUUCUACUAGAGUGUCCUUGCUAGCUAUAUAACAAUUUUCUUACUUUCAUACGGGACGGACUUCUAAAAUCGAAAGAAAAGCAAUUCUUCGAGAUUACUAAACCUACUGAUGAGAGUUCCCUAAACCGGACGAAAUACCAGUAACUAAUUGUUCCAAAAGUCAACAUAUACGUACACACUGUUCUUUUUUCGGCUUCCCCGCGGAGGGUGGACCGUGGCGGGUCGAAGGAGAAUUCGCCGCGGUGGCCCACCGAGGGGUUGGCGAUCAAGAAAAAUAAAGCACGGGCGGAUCAAGUACACCUCGACGAAAACCCUUCAGAUCCUGUUACUAACCAUGGGUUGGAGGAAGGGCUUACCGUGGUCAACUACUAUUAACGUGACCGGUCCCGGUGCUUGAGCUAAACGUUUGAGUCACCCAAGAACGUUGAAACCUUCGGAGAGAGGUUCACUGUCCUGUUCCACCGGUAACUGUCUAACUGCUCCUUCGUGUGCCUGCACCGCUGAUCUGAAGAGUACUAGUAAAUAGGGGGAGCUCCGAUAUAAUACGUGAAGUGCAAACACCCGAACAACUCGACAACACGGGUCGAACACGGCAUGGAAAAAUAAAAGAAAAGAAACAAAGGCACCUGGAGACAAAACGUCAACUAACAACACGAAGACAACACCAACGGAAUAUAUAUUUCCCCCUGCAACGUGUUGG
rnacentral:rRNA from 1 species